rnacentral:lncRNA from 1 species
AAUAACAAGAUCCUUUAGCUUUCCAAAAUUGAACAAAGCCAUCAAUGCUAGGCUUCAUUUCUUCAUUCCUCAUUUGACGACCUCCAUAACCAAGUGGUCCUUCUUGUAAGUCAACAUUAUCAUCUUGAACUUGAAUAAGAAUCUCUUGCGCGUGAUGCUCAAUAUGCACUUCUUCAUUGGUAAAUUUUAGCUAGUAAAAGGUAAUUUUUAUUCGGGUAUUAUUUUUCGGGGUGUUUUAUUUUUAGAAUUGGGUAGUAUAUAGGUGAUGGACAGGGUUGGACAGGCCCAAACCCAGCCCUCACUUUUCUUUUUCCCUCUCUCUCCCUCCCGGUUUCCACUCCCGAGCUCUCUCUCUUCUUCCGCCGGAAACCUCCGCUCGCAGCUGUCGUCCGGCCAAGCAGGGACGCCGCACCACUCCAGCACGGUCUGUCGUCCUCCCCGCCGCCAUCCUGGGCUGGUGAGCGGCGCUGUAGCCCCGCCGAUCGGAGGAAAUCCUCCUUGGACGCCGUUUGUCUUCUCGCCGGAGCUCCCUCCUCCGGCCACCAAAACCGGGGAUCCUUGGCUCGUUUUGUAGCCCUCCUCCUGUGCAGCAACCCCUCCAAACAGCUCACCCUCUCUUGAGCUAGGUAAGGAGAAAUGUGAAGUUGAAUUUCUAGAGCGUUUUUUAUGUUUCUAUUCGAUUGGCAUAGCUAGGAUUGGAUUUUGGGUUUGUGCUAGUUAGGAAAGUUGUAGAGCAUGAUGAGAGGAAAGAUGCUGUCAAAAUUUCAUAGGUUUUGGAGGUCGCCGGAAUCGGCCUCCGGCCGCCGCUGCCGGCGGAGCCGCCGCGGUUUGGGAGAUUUUUAGGGUUUUAAAUGUGGAAUAUUAAGGGGAUUAUAUUGAUGUGAUUUAUGGAAUUUUUGGAUGAGAUUUGGAUAGGUUUGUGAAUUUCCGAAGUUUGGUAUUUUUGGCGGUUAAUUAAUGUAGAAUCCGGCCGUAGGAUUUAAGUCGUAUUUUUGGGGAGGUUGUAUUUACGACUGUCGAGUAUGAUAUUUAAGUUCGGAUCAUUUCGAUUUAAGAAUAUCGAAGUUAGGCAAUGAUGAGCGUAUUUAUGGCUCUCGGGUAAUUUUGCCUAUUUUGAUUAAAUAUUGGAUUGUUAGUUGGGAAAUUAAUAUUAUAUUUGAAUCAGGACGUGAGGAGGCUCGAGCAGACGAGGCCCCAGAUCGACAUCAGGCUUAGGCCUAAUUUGUGAGUGGACUUUUGUUUUAAAUAAAAUGCAUGCUAGAGUUCAUGGUUGAACAAUAAUUGUUGCGGAAUAUUUUGACGUCAUUUUAAUUUGACGAAUUUUAUUUCUCUUGGAGAGUUACCGAAAAUAGAAUUUUCGGUGGAUAUAAAUAUGUAUUUAUGAGAGAGUAUGUAUAUAAAAUGCUAGCUAGCCAUAUGUGUCUGUCCACCUUAAUGGCGUAGCAUAUAGCCGCAUUAUGGUGUGACGUGAGUCGUUGGACGCGAGCGUAGUAGCCUUAUAU